UACGUAGGGUGCAAGCGUUAAUCGGAAUUACUGGGCGUAAAGCGUGCGCAGGCGGUUUUGUAAGUCUGUCGUGAAAUCCCCGGGCUCAACCUGGGAAUUGCGAUGGAGACUGCAAGGCUAGAAUCUGGCAGAGGGGGGUAGAAUUCCACGUGUAGCAGUGAAAUGCGUAGAUAUGUGGAGGAACACCGAUGGCGAAGGCAGCCCCCCUGGGUCAAGAUUGACGCUCAUGCACGAAAGGCGU
rnacentral:rRNA from 1 species